AAAUUGAAGAGUUUGAUCAUGGCUCAGAUUGAACGCUGGCGGCAGGCCUAACACAUGCAAGUCGAACGGUAACAGGAAACAGCUUGCUGUUUCGCUGACGAGUGGCGGACGGGUGAGUAAUGUCUGGGAAACUGCCUGAUGGAGGGGGAUAACUACUGGAAACGGUAGCUAAUACCGCAUAACGUCGCAAGACCAAAGAGGGGGACCUUCGGGCCUCUUGCCAUCGGAUGUGCCCAGAUGGGAUUAGCUAGUAGGUGGGGUAACGGCUCACCUAGGCGACGAUCCCUAGCUGGUCUGAGAGGAUGACCAGCCACACUGGAACUGAGACACGGUCCAGACUCCUACGGGAGGCAGCAGUGGGGAAUAUUGCACAAUGGGCGCAAGCCUGAUGCAGCCAUGCCGCGUGUAUGAAGAAGGCCUUCGGGUUGUAAAGUACUUUCAGCGGGGAGGAAGGGAGUAAAGUUAAUACCUUUACUCAUUGACGUUACCCGCAGAA
rnacentral:rRNA from 1 species